rnacentral:lncRNA from 1 species
CGAGGCCCACCACCUGGGGCAGCUGGGGUCUGCCCGCACAGCCCUGGAUGGGGCCAUCUCUCCUGCAGCUCCUCCCACGGCCACACUUGAGUGGCACAGCUCUGGGGACAGGCCAGCAAGGGACAGCAGGGAGACCAGGACAGAGGCCAGAGAGGCGCUCUGAUUUCCAUGACAACAGCAGAGUCUGGCUGCCUGUGUGGGAAUGUGGUCCCCGAGAGCUGGGUCUGCCCACCUCAGCCUGAGGUGGACGCCGCCCUCCUGGCCCUGGGGUCCAGCGCCGCCUGUGUGUGCAGCUGUGUGUGUUCAAGACCAGGGGAAGCUGUUCCUGAGGGCUGGACGUAGAGAGGGAGAGGGACCCGGGACCAGCUCCAGGCCUAGAGACCCCAGAGCCUCAGGAAAGGAGGCCCAGGAAGAGAGGGACUGCUCUGCCGUGAAAACAGAGUCGUCGCUUUGUUUUGCUUAAAUAACCAGGUAACACCCUGUGGCUGGCGCAGGACUGAAGCAG